UACGGGGGGGGGCAAGCGUUGUUCGGAAUUACUGGGCGUAAAGGGCUCGUAGGUGGCCAACUAAGUCAGACGUGAAAUCCCCAGGCUCAACCUGGGAACUGCGUCCGAUACUGGAUGGCUUGAAUUCGGGAGAGGGAUGCAGAAUUCCAGGUGUAGCGGUGAAAUGCGUAGAUAUCAGGAGGAACACCGGUGGCGAAGGCGGGUCUCUGGGCCGAUACUGACGCUGAGGAGCGAAAGCGUGGGGAGCGAACAGG
rnacentral:rRNA from 1 species